UUUAAAGAACUUUUUAAAAAACUAUCAGUCUCAAUCUAGUCUGAACGCGACACAUAGCUGAUUGCUACAACAUGUCUUACGGAACGUCAACAUACACAGCGACAGCGGAGAUACAUCGCGAUGGAGUGACUAAAUCCCAGAAGUAUAACCGCAUUUUCGCCCGUGAGUAAACGUUUAAAUGUUUUAUUUUUAUCUACAACCAAUAGCUACUUUUUUAGCUCUUAGAUUGCAAGCUUGCUUGCUAUGUAGACUGUUUCCGGGUUUCCCCGUGACGCUAGCGAAAUGAUGGCCCAGCUGUAAGCCCUCAAUUGGUCAUUGUUAUUUUUAUUCUGUAGUUAUAAUUUAUUUAUUUAUUAAUUUAUUCUUUAUGUUCAUGUUUGCAGUAACUCGAGCCACCCCUCGCUUGAUCAACCUCUGUUCAUCUGUCCUGAAACUCCAACAACAAAUCGGCCGGACCAAAGCUUGUGCCGUGAAAAGAAUUAUUCUGGAAACCUUAACGGUUAUUGAACAAAUUCCGUCGUCAGGAGAGAGAGCACAGCUCUACUGCAUGCAGGCUGGAGAACUUGUGAGAUCCUGCCAGAUCCAACUGGAUCAACUGUUCCGGCCGCCUGCAUUGCAUCGUACAGCAAGUGAACAGAGACAUCCUUGCUUGAUCAACCUCCGUUCAUCUGUCCUGAAGCUGCAACAAGACAUCGGUCGAAUAUUCACCAAAGCUCGUGCAGUGAAAACGAUUAUUCUGGAAACCUCAGCGAUUGUUGAGCAAAUUCCGUCGUCAGGAGACGGAGCACAGCUUUACCGCAUGCAGGCUGGAGAACUUGUGACAUCCUGCCAGAUCCUGCUCGACCAGCUGUUCCAGUCAUCAAGACUGCACUCAGUGUAAUCAAGUAAAAUUGUGACCUCUGUAAAAAUGGGGAGCCAGUAAAUGAGAGAUGCUUUAAAUGAAAUGUUGAAAGCUGUAAACGAAUUACAAAAUAUACCUGUUCAUGAUACGUCUGGGGUUCUGAAUCUACCUAAUGUGUCACCCUCUCGGUUAGAACAAGCCCUCCAACAAUUAAACGUUUCAUUUUCUCAACCCUCCUCCCCGGAAAAUGAUUCGCUACACUUUGAGAUGCAAGUUACAGAUGUUUUAAAUGAAAUCACGCAAAUGGUUAACGAGCUUCAACAUAUACCUGUUCAGGAUACGUCUGGGGCUGCUAAUUUACAUGAAGGUAAUAGUUCACCGGGUAGACAACAGGUUCACACCGGCCAGGGUUGGAAUGUUGAGCGUUUAUCAUUGCUAGAACAAGCCCUCCAUCAAUUAAAUUCAUCCUCCUCUCAGCCGUUUAACCCUAAUCCUGCAGGCGAAAAGUCUCCUCAUCACCACCACCACCUGCAGCAGCAGCAGCAGCAUGGGGGUAGUUUAAAUCAAACUGUUGUAGAAAAUCAUAAUCCGUCUGGUUCUUCUAAUACAGUUUUGCAAAACUCCACCUCCAGCACGCAUCAACUGCCAGACAUGCAUGGCCUACAGGAUCAACCCUGCACCAGCCAGUCAGCUGUAAACAGCUCUGAGCAUACUCAGCAGUCCUCUACAUCCAGCGUCCAGCGUGACCGCUUCAACGUCACAGAAAUAAGACGCUCUUUAAACAUCACCGCUUUGCAGCCUGGGGAGAUUCCUAACCCCGACGAAUUUUACACACAAGUUUAUGAUGUUCUGGCUGAUUUGGCAGAAUCUGUUAUACCUCUAACCUCCCGUAAUGACAUUAUACAACUGCCCACGUGCGUCUGAAAUUGUACACCUGUCUCGAAAGACUUAAACAGCGUGUUUUGUACAUUGACACGGACAGUCUGAUCUACGUGGUUAAACCGGGUCAGACCUCCCUCGAGCUGGGGCAUUUACUUGGUGACUUGACUGAUGAACUUACAGGUGACUCGAUACAGGAAUUUGUUUCCGCAGGCCCAAAAAGCUACGCUUACCAGACCAGAAUCCAGAAACGGAUUGUGAUGAAGUUUAAAGGUAUCACUCUGACUCGUGAAUGCAGUGAGAAAGUGAAUUUUGACAGCGUGAAAGAGCUGGUUGAAGGUUAUUUGCAAGGUUCUACAGGGGAUGUUUUACAAGCUCCACAACACACCAUCAGAAGGCAUAAAAGAAACUUCCAGCUUCAAAAGGCCACAUUUCAGAAAAACCUCCGCGUGGUGUAUGACAAGAGAAGGCUUUUUUCUGAUGGUACAACUCUUCCGUUUGGUUAUUAAAGGUUAACUGAGAAAAAUAAAUAUAAAAAAAAUAAAUAAAAUGUCUCUCUCCCGUGAAACACAGGAGGUCGAAUUUGACCCUAGAUUCAAAACUCCCUUUUCACUCCUAAUAGCAGGGCUGAGUGGUUGUGGUAAAUCUUUUUUUUGUUAAAAGUGUUUUGCAAAAUUGUAGCCAUGUAAUGGAUGCUGUUCCUGAAAAUAUAGUCUGGAUU